UAGCAUAAUAAUUAGUUCUUUAAUUGGGAACUUGUAUGAAUGGUUGGACGAACAAAAACUGUCUCUAUUAUAAAAAUAUAAUUUAACUUUUAAGUGAAAAGGCUUAAAUAAUUUAAUGGGACGAUAAGACCCUAUAAGCUUUAUAUUUUUUUAAUUAUAUUGUAAAAAUUCUAUUUAAAUACUUUUGUUUGGAAAAUAUUUGGCUGGGGCGGCAAGUUUAAAAUUUUUGUUAACUUUUCUUAUUUUAGACACGUGUAUGUGAAAUAAUAGAUCCUUUAUUAAGAUUUUAAGGUAAGUUACUUUAGGGAUAACAGCGUUAUUUUUUUUGAGAGCUCAUAUCGAAAAAAAAGAUUGCGACCCC
rnacentral:rRNA from 1 species